GGAACUCUUAUUUUUUGGGUGAAAUGGAUGGUCAAGAUAAUUUGUAGUAAUAUACAUUAUUUUUAGACUUAAAAUCCUAAUGUUUUUCACAACCAUAAUGUUCACGCAUAGAGGAUCGAUGUAAAGGUUUUUUAAUACUCAAACUGUAAUUUUCGAUGAGUUAUAAGGUGAGGCUUUACUUAUUUUAAUAGGGCUGCAGCCCUAUCAAACUAUUUUCCUUUAGUAUAAGGGCUCACAUACCUUUGAUAUUGCUUAUGCGCCUCAAAUAAAUUAAAUAAAGGAGAAUCUAUAUUAUCUUUGAUAAUUAUGCUGCUUACUUAUUUACUCUUGAUUGGGAGCUUGCCUAUUACAUCAAAAAUUUUAAGGCAUCGCUUAAUAAUUGAUAUUAGUUAUGAAAUAAUUGUAGCUCUCUAUUGAGCACAUAUUAAAUACUUUUGGUGGUUUAUUUAAUUUCGUAUAAAAUCUUAUUUGUUUAGAAAUUAGAAAGUAUUAAGCUUCUUACUCUUAACUUAGUAAAUGACUAGUAAAAUUGAUAUGGCUAAACUUUCAAAAUUAGAAAACUGAAUAGGACCAUUUUUUCAUGUAGAAGAGGAAGAUGAAAUAUCUCAUCAUUCAGGAAAUAAAUUUAUAUUACUAAACGAAGAUUAGUAAGUAGUUGAUGAUAAACCAACUAAAAAAGAAAAUAAAAAGUUAGAAAAAUUAUUAGAAGAUGACCUCAUAGCUAAAAUAUCAAUGCUAACUUUUAUGCAAGAUGGCGUUAUUAAUGUAUUCGAACAUUAUGCAACAUCCAAUAUAAUACAACAUCUGAAACUAAUCUCCAAUUUCUAUUAAAGCAAUAUACCUCAUUUAAAAUGAAGGAAGGUGACAAUGUAGUAGAGCACGUGAACAAAAUACUAGUUAUGGCUAAGGACUUAGCCAAUGUUGAGAACAUAAAAUUCUCGAGAGCAUAAAAGUUUCAACAAUCUUAAAAAGUCUUCCACCUUCUUGGAGGAUGAUGACUAUUACACUGAUUGAAAGAAAAAUCCCGUACUUUAGGAGACCUGCCCAUGCAACUCGCCUUAAAAGCGAGAACACAUAAAUAAAGAGAAGAAAGAGAGCUCAUGCUUGCUCAAAGACCUACCAAAUUCAGCCAACCCAAGUCUAAUAACCAAAAAUUUUAAGAAAAAAUCAAUAUGAGGAGCAAGAGGAUAAAAAAUAAAGGAACCAGGACUUAAAACCAGCUGUUUUGAAAAACAGCGAAUCAGUCACCUUGUGUCGAUUCCAUCAAAACAGUGAAUUGGUCAUCCCGUGUCGAUUCCACUAAAAUAUGCAGAGUCGCCCAGUUAUAGAGAAGAACAGUCACUUGUCGAUUCCAUUGAAAUACACAGAGUCACCCAGUUAUAAAGAAGAACAGUCACGUGUCGAUUCCACUAAAAUACACAGAGUUGGUCAGCUAUAGAGAAGAACAGUCACUACAGUGUGACCAAUUCCACUGAAUUACGUAGAGUCGCUCAGUUAUAGAGAAGAACAGUCACGUGUCGAUUCCACUGACAUACGCAAAGUCUCCACUGAAAUACGCAGAGUCGGCCAGUUAUAUAGAAGAACAGUCACGUGUCGAUUCCACUGAAAUACGCAGAGUCGUCCAGUUAUAAAGAAGAACAGUCACAUGUCGACUCCACUAAAAUACACAGAGUCAGCCAUCCAGUUAUAGAGAUGAACAGUCCGAUUGAGUCACAACCUAAAAUCGUCCCACGAGUCAGUCGCCCGAUUGAGUCACAACCUAAAAUCGUUCCACGAGUCAUCAGGUUCUCUACAGUAACCACGAGUCACUAACACCCCCCCCCCAACCUAAAAUCGUUCCACGAGUCAUUAGGUUCUCUACAAUAACAACGAGUCACUAACACCCCGCCCCCGAGUCAUCUAAACCAUCGAGUCAACUAAAAAUAGAGAACCAUCGAGUCAACUAAAAAUAGAGAACCACCAAGCCAACUUGAAAUCGCUCCCCAAAUUUGCUCACGCCAGCCCAUCCACUUUCACAUGUACUUUGUACGUCGCAUGCACAAUCCGAGUGCCCAUCCGACGCGUCUCAAGAGUAAGAAGCGUGCACGUCUGAUGGUAGAAAUUAAAAAAAGGAAAAAAAUUAUUAAAAAUAAUAAUUGGGUAGCCAUCACCCCUAUUUUUCACAAAAGAAAUUUAAAUUUACUUAAAAAAAAAAAACAUAAAAACUCUAUUAGGCUAUUAUCUCA
rnacentral:lncRNA from 1 species